CCUACGGGAGGCAGCAGUGGGGAAUAUUGGGCAAUGGGCGCAAGCCUGACCCAGCAACGCCGCGUGAAGGAAGAAGGUUUUCGGGUUGUAAACUUCUUUUAUGGGGGAAGAGCAGAAGACGGUACCCCUUGAAUAAGCCACGGCUAACUACGUGCCAGCAGCCGCGGUAAUACGUAGGUGGCAAGCGUUGUCCGGAUUUACUGGGUGUAAAGGGCGUGCAGCCGGAGAGACAAGUCAGAUGUGAAAUCCACGGGCUCAACCCGUGAACUGCAUUUGAAACUGUUUCCCUUGAGUGUCGGAGAGGUAAUCGGAAUUCCUGGUGUAGCGGUGAAAUGCGUAGAUAUAAGGAAGAACACCAGUGGCGAAGGCGGAUUACUGGACGAUAACUGACGGUGAGGCGCGAAAGCGUGGGGAGCAAACAGGAUUAGAUACCCUUGUAGUC
rnacentral:rRNA from 1 species